rnacentral:piRNA from 1 species
UUGUUCAAAUGUUGAUUUCUC